rnacentral:rRNA from 1 species
GUGGGGAAUCUUGCGCAAUGGGCGAAAGCCUGACGCAGCCAUGCCGCGUGAAUGAUGAAGGUCUUAGGAUUGUAAAAUUCUUUCACCGGGGACGAUAAUGACGGUACCCGGAGAAGAAGCUCCGGCUAACUUCGUGCCAGCAGCCGCGGUAAUACGAAGGGGGCUAGCGUUGCUCGGAAUUACUGGGCGUAAAGGGCGCGUAGGCGGACAGCUUAGUCAGAGGUGAAAGCCCAGGGCUCAACCUUGGAAUUGCCUUUGAUACUGGCUGUCUUGAGUUUGGGAGAGGUGAGUGGAACUCCGAGUGUAGAGGUGAAAUUCGUAGAUAUUCGGAAGAACACCAGUGGCGAAGGCGACUCACUGGCCCAAUACUGACGCUGAGGCGCGAAAGCGUGGGGAGCAAUCAGGAUUAGAAACCCGAGUAGUCC